GCAGAAGCUGGUGGGAUACCACGAGCAGGCAAGCAGGUUUCUGGACACCAGCAGAGAUGAUGUGGUGAAGCAGCUGUCUGUGUUCGAGGAGCUGCUACUUUUAUCACCUGCAGUUUUGAUCAGUGACCAUGAGCGACAGCAUGGGUCGGGGCUCAGAGAGGAAGUGGCGAGACUCACAGAGAAACUGGAGAAGACUCUGGCAGCCAGUGAGAAGGAGAAGAGUGUGAACAUAGGUCAGCUGCGAACGUCUCUCGGGGAGGAUGAGCUGGAGAUGCUGAACAGCAGAGAAGAGCUGAGACAGCAGCAGCUACACAGCACUAUCUCCAGUGCACACCUUGAGCUGCAGGAAUGUGUGAGAGGCAGAGGGGAGGAGUUUGUUACAUCACUGGCUUCUCUGACAGAGAAGCUGCUCCAUCAGAUGAAUGACCUCUUUAGCCCUGCAGAAACUGGUACAGCAACAGCACGACAGCAGACGUGUGGUGCUGUUACUGUAGAAGCAGCAUCUGAAACAGGAAGCAGACCAAGCGCUGAAAAUAGCACAGGUGACCUGCCAUCUUCUCAUACUACGGUAACAACAGUUUCGAUCGCUACAUCCAAGUGGACCCCAGGACAUGUGACUGUUAUGGAGCAAAGAAACACUGCUAUGAAGCGGUUUGAGCAAGUGGUCAAGUUGGAACUGUUGCUCUCAGACGACAUGAAACGAAGACAGCUGAGCGGACAGCAGAGCUGGAACACACACUGGAGACAACAGAUACACUCUCUGAAACUGAUACAGAAGCCAACAUAGCAGCAGCUGACUGAAAGUUUUUGGUGUAGGCUGUGAUGACAUUUACUGCAUUUAAUGUUUGUUAAUAAAACAGAGAAGAAGAAAAACU
ensembl:lncRNA